AUUUUUACCAAUAUUUUUUAUUUUAUCUUAUUUUAAUCUCUUAAUAUUUUACAUUUUUAUUUUAAUUCUUAUAUUUUAUCAAGAUUUCAUUCAAUUUUUUAAUAUUUAUUUAACCCCUCAAGAUGAAUUUCUAGUUUCACCUCUGCAUAUAAUGUUAUCAUGUUGCUAUAACUCACUCCAAAAUCUGAGCAAAGAUAGGUUGAGUACACUACACUAAAGCUAGACCCAAACAUAAUAACUUGGACAUAUCUCUACCAAUCUCUAUCAAGGAUCGAUCGGUCAAGCUCGAGGUCUCGU
rnacentral:misc_RNA from 1 species